ACGGGUGAGUAAUGCCUAGGAAAUUGCCUUGAUGUGGGGGAUAACCAUUGGAAACGAUGGCUAAUACCGCAUAAUGCCUACGGGCCAAAGAGGGGGACCUUCGGGCCUCUCGCGUCAAGAUAUGCCUAGGUGGGAUUAGCUAGUUGGUGAGGUAAUGGCUCACCAAGGCGACGAUCCCUAGCUGGUCUGAGAGGAUGAUCAGCCACACUGGAACUGAGACACGGUCCAGACUCCUACGGGAGGCAGCAGUGGGGAAUAUUGCACAAUGGGCGAAAGCCUGAUGCAGCCAUGCCGCGUGUAUGAAGAAGGCCUUCGGGUUGUAAAGUACUUUCAGUUGUGAGGAAGGGGGUGUCGUUAAUAGCGGCAUCUCUUGACGUUAGCAACAGAAGAAGCACCGGCUAACUCCGUGCCAGCAGCCGCGGUAAUACGGAGGGUGCGAGCGUUAAUCGGAAUUACUGGGCGUAAAGCGCAUGCAGGUGGUUCAUUAAGUCAGAUGUGAA
rnacentral:rRNA from 1 species